UACGAAGGGGGCUAGCGUUGCUCGGAAUCACUGGGCGUAAAGCGCACGUAGGCGGACUCUUAAGUCGGUGGUGAAAUCCUGGAGCUCAACUCCAGAACUGCCUUUGAUACUGAAGAUCUUGAGUUCGGGAGAGGUGAGUGGAACUGCGAGUGUAGAGGUGAAAUUUCGUAGAUAUUCGCAAGAACACCAGUGGCGAAGGCGGCUCACUGGCCCGAUACUGACGCUGAGGCACAAAGCGUGGG
rnacentral:rRNA from 1 species